UACGUAGGGUGCAAGCGUUAAUCGGAAUUACUGGGCGUAAAGCGUGCGCAGGCGGUUAUGCAAGACAGAUGUGAAAUCCCCGGGCUCAACCUGGGAACUGCAUUUGUGACUGCAUGGCUAGAGUACGGUAGAGGGGGAUGGAAUUCCGCGUGUAGCAGUGAAAUGCGUAGAGAUGCGGCGGAACACCGAUGGCGAAGGCAGCCCCCUGGGCUGAGAUUGACGCUCAGGCACGAAAGCGUGGGGAGCAAACAGG
rnacentral:rRNA from 1 species